rnacentral:rRNA from 1 species
AGAGUUUGAUCCUGGCUCAGAUUGAACGCUGGCGGCAGGCCUAACACAUGCAAGUCGGACGGUAGCACAGGGGAGCUUGCUCCCUGGGUGACGAGUGGCGGACGGGUGAGUAAUGUCUGGGGAUCUGCCCGAUAGAGGGGGAUAACUACUGGAAACGGUGGCUAAUACCGCAUAACGUCGCAAGACCAAAGAGGGGGACCUUCGGGCCUCUCACUAUCGGAUGAACCCAGAUGGGAUUAGCUAGUAGGCGGGGUAAUGGCCCACCUAGGCGACGAUCCCUAGCUGGUCUGAGAGGAUGACCAGCCACACUGGAACUGAGACACGGUCCAGACUCCUACGGGAGGCAGCAGUGGGGAAUAUUGCACAAUGGGCGCAAGCCUGAUGCAGCCAUGCCGCGUGUAUGAAGAAGGCCUUCGGGUUGUAAAGUACUUUCAGCGGGGAGGAAGGCGAUAAGGUUAAUAACCUUGUCGAUUGACGUUACCCGCAGAAGAAGCACCGGCUAACUCCGUGCCAGCAGCCGCGGUAAU